GUCGCUAUAGCUCAGUUGGUUGAGUCCCCAAGAGUCAGCUCUGCAGAAUUCUAGGUUGUGGGUUCGAGUCCCACUAGUGGCA